CAGCUACUUAUGCAAGAGCCGAGGACCGAGAGGCAGAGCCCCUCCAGCACCGGGCGGAGGCAGCAGCAGCUCCCCAGCCAGCGAGCAGCAGCCCAAGUGCGCUCGCCUCUGCCUGGCUCCGAUGGGGAGGCGAGGAAGAGGCUGGCCCGGGAAGGGACCGCUGCUUCCCAGCCGCUAACAGGUCCCCUUGCUGCCCAGGUGCUGAGCACUUGUCCUCCUCCCCGGGCGAUGGGUCCCCACUGACCUCCGCACUGUAACCUGCCAGCUGCAGCUCAGCCGCCUGUUGCUAAUGCUCGGAUGCCAGAGGCCAGCGCUUUGACCAGUGCCGCCUGGUGGCUCUCCUCACUCCGCAGGGACAGGGCCAUGGGGCUCUCUGUCCCCCUGUGGCUUUGGCUGCUGCAUGCCGCCACGUGCCUCGCCAGCAGCCCAAAUCCCAGCUACAGCACAGUGGCCAAGAAGGAGAUCAGCACGGAAGGGGACCUGGUCAUUGGAGGGCUGUUCCCGGUGCAUGAGAAAGGUAGCUCCAACGAGGAGUGCGGCAAGAUCAAUGAGCACCGAGGGAUCCAGCGCCUCGAGGCCAUGCUCUUCGCCUUGGACGAGAUCAACAAAGAUCAGCGCAUCCUGCCAGGGAUCAUGCUGGGGGCCCACAUCCUGGACACCUGCUCCAAGGACACCUACGCCCUGGAGCAGUCUCUGGAUUUUGUCCGCGCCUCCCUGACCCGAGUGGAUGGCUCCGAACACAUCUGCCCUGAUGGCUCCUACGCCAUCCACGAUGACGUUCCCAUGGCAAUUACCGGGGUCAUCGGGGGCUCCUACAGCGACGUCUCCAUCCAGGUGGCCAACCUGCUGAGACUCUUCCAGAUCCCGCAGAUCAGCUAUGCCUCCACCAGCGCUAAGCUCAGUGACAAGUCUCGCUACGACUACUUUGCUCGCACCGUCCCACCAGACUUCUACCAGGCCAAGGCCAUGGCCGAGAUCCUGCGCUUCUUUAACUGGACCUAUGUCUCCACAGUGGCCUCGGAGGGUGACUACGGUGAGACGGGUAUUGAGGCCUUUGAGAUGGAAGCCCGGGCCCGCAACAUCUGCAUCGCCACCUCUGAGAAGGUGGGGCGCUCCAUGAACAAAAAGACCUUCGAAGGAGUGAUCAAGGCCCUCCUGCAGAAGCCCAGCGCUAGGGUGGUGGUGCUGUUCACCCGCAGCGAAGAUGCCCGGGAGCUGCUGGCAGCUGCACAGAGAAUCAAUGUCUCCUUCACAUGGGUGGCCAGUGAUGGCUGGGGUGCCCUGGAGAGCGUGGUGGCGGGAAGCGAGUUGGUGGCGGAGGGGGCCAUCACCAUUGAACUGGCAGCCUACCCCAUCCAGGAGUUUGCCAUCUAUUUCCGGAACCUCAACCCCUACAACAACAGCCGGAACCCCUGGUUCCGGGAGUUCUGGGAGCACAAGUUCCAGUGCAGCUUCCAUACCCAGGACUGCAGCCGGCACUCGCUGAAGACAGGCAAGUUCGAGCAGGAGUCCAAGAUCAUGUUUGUGGUCAAUGCUGUUUAUGCCAUGGCCCACUCCCUCCAUAACAUGCACCAGGCGUUGUGCCCCAAUGCCACCAAGCUGUGUGACUCCAUGAAGCCGGUUAAUGGCAAGAGGUUCUACAAGGACUUCAUGCUCAAUGUCAAGUUUGAUGCUCCAUUCAGGCCAGCAGACACCAAAGGCAUCGUUCGAUUUGACCGCUAUGGUGAUGGAAUCGGUCGUUACAAUAUCUUCAACUACCACAGAGCGGAUGGGAGAUAUAGAUACCAAAAGGUGGGCUACUGGGCAGAAGGGCUUACCCUGAACACCACCCUCAUCCCCUGGGCGAAGACCUCUGUUCCCGUGUCCCAGUGCAGCGACCCCUGCAAGAAGAAUGAAAUGAAGAGCAUGCAGCCAGGGGACAUGUGUUGCUGGAUAUGUAUCCCAUGCCAGCCUUACGAAUACCUGCUGGAUGAAUUCACCUGCAUGGACUGUGGUCUAGGAUACUGGCCCAAUGAUACCCUGAAUGGCUGCUAUGAGCUACCACAAGAGUACAUCCGCUGGAAAGAUGUCUGGGCCAUUGGGCCAGUUACGAUCUCUUGCUUGGGCUUCCUCUCCACCCUCUUUGUCUUUGGGGUCUUCAUUAAGAACAAUGACACUCCCAUUGUGAAGGCCUCAGGCCGCGAACUCUGCUACAUCCUCCUCACUGGGGUCCUGAUGUGCUACAGCAUGACUUUCAUCUUCAUUGCAAAGCCCUCCACCGAGGUCUGCACCCUGCGGCGCUUGGGGCUGGGAACCUCCUUUGCAGUCUGCUACUCUGCCCUCUUGACCAAGACCAACCGGAUCGCUCGGAUCUUCAGCGGGGUGAAGGAAGGGGUCCAGCGCCCACGCUUCAUAAGCCCCACCUCACAGGUGGUCAUCUGCAUGGCCCUCAUCUCCUGCCAGAUGAUCAUCGUCAUCAUCUGGCUCAUGGUGGAGACCCCCGGCACGGGGAAGGAGACGGAGCCUGACAAAAGGUACAUUGUCACCCUCAAGUGCAACAACCGUGACUCCAGCAUGCUCAUUUCACUGACCUACAAUGUGCUCUUGAUCAUCUUGUGUACAGUCUAUGCCUUCAAGACCAGGAAAUGCCCUGAAAACUUCAACGAGGCCAAGUUCAUUGGAUUCACCAUGUACACCACGUGCAUCAUCUGGCUGGCCUUCCUGCCCAUCUUCUAUGUGACCUCCACCGACUACCGCGUGCAGACCACCACCAUGUGCAUCUCCGUCAGCCUUAGCGGCACCGUGGUCCUCGGCUGCCUGUUCACCCCCAAACUCCACAUCAUCCUCUUCCAGCCCCAGAAAAACGUCGCCAGCCACCGCGUGGCCACCAACCGGUUCAGCGUGACUGCAGCAGGCUCCAGCCACUCGCACGGGUCGGCCUCUCAGUCCGUCCCCACAGUGUGUAACGGCCGUGAAGUUGUGGACUCCACGACCUCAUCCUUAUGAAAUGCCCUGUGGUUCCCAUGGGCAAGGGCAUGGUCCCCAGUGCAGACCCUGCACGAAGGCGCAGGCCUUUUUCGUUCCCAUUGGGCCUUUUGUUUCUCAAAGCUGUGCUCCCAGCCUGCUCGCUGAUGCCGUCUCACUCGCUGGGCCGGCGUUCCCCAAGGAGAGGAGCCGUCGUGUGAGAACUGGGUGCCACCUUCCGCUGCCCUGCUCCCCCAGCGCCGGCUCAGAGAGACACAAACCUGCUGGGGCGGUCGUGAUUGUACUGAAUGGACCUGCUGGGGCAUGGAAGAACCAUGCCCUCUCCCUGGGGAGCCAGCUCUGAGCCAGACGGAUCUCGUGGCAGAUCCACCCUGUGUUACCUCUUGCUGGCCAGAUUACCAGAGAGAGCAAAACCUGAGCAUCUGUACCUCCCCACUUCUCUCUGCACUGGAAUAGGGUCAGGGGAAAGUCCACAGAUUCCCACUGGCUGCUCCAAUCUCCCCCUUCCCUUCCCUCCCCAAAGGAAGCAGGACCCUCCCCCCCCCCAAAAAAGAGCAAAUACCAAUGGGUCAAAGGUGCUAUGGCUUGAAGAGAACAGACAGGCCCUUCUCCAAGACCACGCUGCCCCGCAGCAUUGGGAAGGAAUUCAGACUGAACAAGCCAGGGGCUCAGGGCUGCUGCUGAUUUUGCAGGAAGAUCCCUGGUUGGAAUGUGAGCCCCCUACCCCCUCUGAGCUGUGAGAGACUCACUUUGAAAUGGACAAACAGGUGCUUCCACAUCAGAGAUUUCUGACCCCAGGAACCUGGGUUGUACACAUUACCUGACUUGGCUAGAGGGACCCAACCGGGGGUUGCCGCAUGUGCGGCCCUGUAGGGUUUUGUUUAGCAAGGGCAGUCGGGGACGGGCACAGUGGCUAGUCAGGAAGCAGGGAGAGGGUGAGGGGCCCACUGGGAGCUGGGGCGAGGCAUGGCACAGGAGGGCUGCCCUGUCCGCACCUGGUGUGGGACACUGACAGAGGAGGGUAGCAGGGGACUGAAACAACUCCUACAAGUGGAGAAAUGAUGACGUAUGAGAACGGAGGGAGAGACCUGAAAAUGUGGGACCAGCCAGACGCAGAAAGCGAGUGAGGAUCUGGCAGCCUGCAGUCCUGCGGACUGACUUCAGGGGGAGCUGUGUGUCCUGUCCCCGGAGACUGGGCCUCUAGGGUGAACGAGUCCCACAACACAGAGAGCAGAGAGGAACAAACCCCCAACACAUGCUUCAGGCCCGCUACCCGGGGGGGGGGAGGUGGGGGCACAGCUGCUGCUUGGGGGGCAAGGGUGAGGGGGCAUGGCCUGCUGCUCCCCACUAGCAUAGGGGUUUGAAUUUGUGGUGUGCUGGAGUCAUUGACCAUGCAGCCUGGUAUCCAAAGGUGCUCCCCGCUCUUUGCCUCUACAGGCAGCAGGAAAAGGACAUUCCCACUGCAUUAGGCUGCCCAAGGGGCCGUUCCCCCAGAAUGCCCCCAUGCCCUUCAUGAACAACGGGACGGGGAGGGGUUGGUCUGAUUCCAUGGAGGGCCAGGGUGCCUCAGACCACCCCCAUUCCUGACCCCGCCAGGAGCUGCCUGACCGUGACAUCACCCAGCAACCAAAGUGGCCCGAGCGCUGGUGCGGCAGCAAAAGCAGCAAUAAACCAUCCGGCUCUGUGCUUUACAGCUGCCAAACACUCUGGCGGCAAAGCUGCUCCCCUGCUUCGCUGCAGUUUUCUUGGCACCUUCAUCCACCGAGAGCCAGCAGAUUUCAAGUUGAUGGGGUCCCUGGCGUGAUGAGGUGAGUACCUGCCCUCUUGCCCAUUGGCUUGGAUGGCUGAAAUAGGAAAUGCAAGGCAGCACUCAGAGGAGAGGGACAGGGUGAAGUUAUUGGCACAACAAUUUGGAUCCUCACAGCAAUGCAUCUCCUGCCUUUCACGUGCAUUCAGAUGCUGAGAUGCUCUUCCUGUGUCUCAAAGGACAUCAUUAGCCAGCACUUCCUGUUAGGAAUUAUCAGUAUCAAGGCCCUGGUGGGCUGGGUAGUGCUAAAGAGGUUGCAUCAGUGUUUUUCAACUGACUGAUGGAAAAAUCCAUGUUUACUGUAGAACUAUAGAAGUAUUUAAACCAGGUGAGUUAUUAGUUAUUUAAGCAAACGUGCUGCUGAUCUCUCAAGAGUUUUCUGUGGGUCGCAUCUUUUUUCACAGUAGCCCCAUGAUGUCGGUGCUAAAUGCUAGAAUUCCAGUGUUCGUAGCUGUGCCCAGCCCUCUGCCGUGACACUGGUGCCAAUGUCCUGUCCUUCUGCCAAUGCCCCCUUCCCACCAUACUAUCCACUGCUCCAGCAGGACGCCUGUUAGCACCACCGCUCUUCCUGACUGCUGGACAGGCACAAGCAAUCAGCCCUAAAAUCAGCAUCCUGCUCCGCUGCUUCUAGUCACUAAUCUCCCCUCACCCCGGGGACAGCUGUACCUGUGGCCGCUGGCACUCAAUGCAAGGGAGAUCCUGAAAGCCAAAUGACAGGUUAGGCUGGGCUGGGCAAUAUAACUCUGUAUCUCGUGGUGUUUUUUAAUUUUUAUAAACUAUUUAUUGGGAGGAGCCUUUUGGCUGGAGAGAAAAUUAUAAUAAUUAGCUGGCUGCUAACAAAAAUGUGCGUGUUCUUUGGCCCUUGACUAGGAUUAUUAUCAUUGUGACACAUGUAUUACAAGCCAAGCGAGUUUUUAAGCGUAGAUCUUUUUGUGACCAAGUUUGUGGUUUUUGUAAUUUAUGUAAAUAAAGUGCAUUUUUUUUAACGGAC